rnacentral:rRNA from 1 species
CGUCUAUAUACGUAUAGCAUAUCAAUAAGCGGAGGAAAAGAAACUAACAAGGAUUCCCCUAGUAACGGCGAGUGAAGCGGGAAGAGCUCAAAUUUGAAAUCUUAAAGGGUUUCCCUUUACGAAUUGUAGUUUAAAGAAGUGUUUUCUGUUGGAGUUUCGGUAAAAGUUCUUUGGAAUAGGACAUCAUAGAGGGUGAGAAUCCCGUAUUUGACCGUUACUUUCCAGCUGUGUGAUACACUUUCAAAGAGUCGGAUUGUUUGGGAAUGCAGUCCAAGAUGGGUGGUAAAUUUCAUCUAAAGCUAAAUAUUGGCGAGAGACCGAUAGCGAACAAGUACCGUGAGGGAAAGAUGAAAAGAACUUUGAAAAGAGAGUUAAACAGUACGUGAAAUUGUCAAAAGGGAAGCGUUUGACACCAGUGUUGUUUAGGUUCGAAAAUCAAUUCAAUAGUUUUUGAUUCUAAGUAGUAUUGACUUCAUCAGCUUGCUGCUUUCUUCUCAGAAAUUAUUGAAUGCACUUUUCAGUUAACAAGUCAACAUCAAUUUCUUUUGUUGUAAAAGGGUAAGAGGAAGGUGGCUUACGUUUCGGCGUAAGUGUUUAUAGCCUUUUACCUCUGCAAUCGGAGAGAUUGAGGACAGCAGCGUAGACUCCUUCUGGGGUUAGAUACACUUGUGCUAAGCUAUAGCCUUGUAUAGACAACUUGUUGACUAUGCUCAGUCAUGUAGCUUACUCGCUUGUGCUAUUUUACCUACGCUUAGGAUGUUGAUAUGCAUGACUGAUA